rnacentral:rRNA from 1 species
CCUACGGGUGGCAGCAGUGGGGAAUAUUGGACAAUGGGCGCAAGCCUGACCCAGCAACGCCGCGUGAAGGAUGAAUGCUUUCGGGUUUUUAAACUCCUUUUAUAUGGAAGUGAAGAAGACUGUAUCUCUUGAAUAAGCCACGGCUAACUACGUGACAGCAGCCGCCGUAAUACGUAGGUGGCUAGCGUUGUCCGGUUUUACUGGGUGUAAAGGGCGUGUAGGCGGGCUGAUAAGUCAGUUGUGAAAUCCCGUGGCUCAACCACGGAACUGCAUUUGAAACUGUCGGUCUGGAGUAUAGGAGAGGCAGGCGGAAUUCGUGGUGUAGCGGUGAAAUGCGUAGAUAUUAGGAGGAACACUCAUUGCGAAGGCGGCCUGCUGGAACAUAACUGACGCUGAUGCGCGAAAGCGUGGGGAGCAAACAGGAUUAGAUACCCGGGUAGUC